AACCUGUGGCAUGUUCCUUGGAGUAUCUCCAGGAUGAGAAUUCAUGAUCCACUUGGAAUGGGUUUAGACCUCGGAAUGAGCUGUCAUCCCGGCCCAGCCAGCCCAGCCAUUUAAAGAUGAUGCUAGCACAGAACUCCAGAUAUUCUUGGAGCAGUGUUGACAUUGGCACGAGAAGCCCCACGGCCCACAAAACUCCUUGGAAGGCAGCCAUUCUUUUCUCCAGUCCUGUUUAGUGCGUUAGUUAAGUGACAGUGCCUGGACUUUACAGCCACAUCUCAUGCAUUUCGUGGCCUAUCUGUUCUGAAAUAAUCAGCCUUCUUGUAACCUGAAUCCUGCCAUCAUGGGCCCUAAAUAUUGUAUUUUUACAGCUGCAAGUCCUUCCGCCAAGGAACCUGCUGCCAACUCGCCUGGCACAGGUGUCCUGACAUGACAGCACUGCUCAUUCCCCACUGGCACAGGAUGGGCCAUCUCUUCCAAGCCUGAGCAGCCUGUACAGCAUCCCAAGCUCUGGGCACAGCUGGGGCAGUUGUGGCAGGAAUGCCGUGGGAUCUGCUGAGCCCUGUGAGGCUGACAUGGGACCGAGUGGGCACCGUGGCCCAUGCAGAAUGGCUUCUCCCUUGAAGAAGCAACACAGGCUAUUGGCUCAGCUGUAAAAGGCAAACACAGGGUAUUGGCUCAGCUGUAAAAGGAGAUCACAGGCAUCCGCUUGGAUGGGGAGUUGGUGCCAGCAUUCCUACCACAUGAAAAUUCAAUCCCAACUGCUACCCAGACCUGCUCAGUCUGCGCCACAGCGGUGGUGACUGAGGGCAUGCCUGCCGUGCCAACCCUGCAGAGGACUUUGCUGCAGGGAGACGGCCCCUUUCUCCUUCCAUGACAGAGUUUAGAAGCCUCCUCUGGCUGCCACCGUGGGAAUUUAGCAGAAAGACCAAGGGAGGAUGCCGUCCACCAGCUGAGGAGAGAGGCCUUUGGAGGAAUCAGCCUUGCCCACGUGUGGAUCUGGGACUUCCAGCCUCCAGGAUCCCGAGCAGGAGGCUUGUGGCCAGCACAGAACUCCAGGAAACUCCAUUUAGAGCAACGUCUGAGUUUCUGUAGGAAACACGCUGCUCUGGACAAACCUUGUUAACUGAGGAAUGAAAGGUGCGUCGCUGGGACUCCGCUGGGACUCCGGUGCCCGCGUGCUGCCCGUCCCUGGGGCGGAGGCUCUGUGAGGCGGCCUUCCCUUGGUGGAUCUGCCCCACUGCCUCCUGCAGCCCCAUGCAGGCCUGUUCUGGGCUCCCCCAAGCCCAGGCCGGGGAGGCCAAAGUGCUGCAGGUGCUGGUGCCAAGAUUGGAGGCCCCAUGCAGAGCCUGUGUGCAGACGUCACAGUCGGCCUC
rnacentral:lncRNA from 1 species